GCUCUCCUCCGCGCUGCUUCUGAGCUCUCCUCCGCGCUGUGUGUCCCAGGCUCCCGAGGACGCUGGGCUGGGUCCGGGCUCUCCGGUCCUACCGACUUCUGGGCGUCUGCCUCCGCUGGCCCUUUAUCUCCAGCCGUGGUCUUCCCCUUUUCUUCUCUUCGGGCCCGGGUCCAGCUCCUCCUUUUCCUCCUGCGACCCAAGCAUCUUGACCUGGCGUCACCCACGGCACUGUCUCCAUGAAUCAUAGGUCCCAAACUCCAUCGUCUUGGAGAGGGCAGGACUCGGCAGUGCUCACAGGAGGUUGGGCCACCAAGGGAAGCUCCUACUUCAGGAUUUGAGCCCAAUCAUUUACAGCUAAUGAAGGGCUUUGGGCUCCACUGUGUGAUUGAAUUCUGAGCUACCUGUGAGGAACCCAGACUCAGAGGUGACUGCCUUGCCCAGGGUCACACAGUGACCCACGGGGUUGUCAGGAAUGGGCCUGGUGUGGCUGAAGAAGGAGACCCCACCUGUCAAGACUGCUCAGAGUGGGCAGCUGGUUACGUUUCCUAGCCCUGUUCUUGAAGCCCUUCCGUCUCUCUCUAACCAUCAGGGUCACUCUGUCCCCAGGUUGUCACAAGAAACUAUUGGAGCUACUA